UUUUGAUACCGAUUCACAGAAAUUAAAAGAAAAGAAAAGAAAAGUAGGAAUCGAGUUCUGUACUUUGUUUGUUUCUAAAUAUCCAGUGAAAGGCAACGCGGAUUUCUUUUACUCGUGAGAAAGUAGAUACGAAGCGUUUUGAAUAAUCAUUGACUAGAUUACAUGAUUCGAGCACA
rnacentral:ribozyme from 1 species